rnacentral:rRNA from 1 species
UACGUAGGGUGCAAGCGUUUGUCCGGAAAUUAUUGGGCGUAAAGAGCUCGUAGGCGGUUUGUUGCGUCGGCUGUGAAAUCCCCGAGGCUCAACCUCGGGUCUGCAGUCGAUAACGAGCAAACUAGAGUGUUGCAGGGGAGACUGGAAUUCCUGGUGUAGCGGUGAAAUGCGUAGAUAUCGUGAGGAAGACCAGUGGCGAAGGCGGGUCUCUGGACAGUUCCUGACGCUGAGGCGACGGAAGGCCAGGGGAGGCAAACGGG